rnacentral:rRNA from 1 species
UUCAGAGGGGGCAAGCGUUGUUCGGAAUUACUGGGCGUAAAGGGUGCGCAGGCGGCGUCGCAAGUCAGGCGUGAAAUCCCCGGGCUUAACCUGGGAACUGCACUUGAAACUACGAUGCUGGAGUAUGGCAGAGGGAGGUGGAAUUCCACGUGUAGCGGUGAAAUGCGUAGAGAUGUGGAGGAACACCGAUGGCGAAGGCAGCCUCCUGGGCCAAUACUGACGCUCAUGCACGAAAGCGUGGGGAGCAAACAGG